ensembl:processed_transcript
UCAACAGAUUCAAGGAAAGAAGAAAAGCUCUAAAUUUUUCCAACUGCACCAGCUCCAGGCCCUCCAGUUCAGUGGGCAGCUCUCGUCCAGGCAGUUCUCCUGUCCCAGCAGUUUCCGACAGGCAAACGAUCACCACCAGUCACUCCAGCGGCUCCUUAACCCACAGCGACAACAACAUCCCUCAGAGUUUUCACAAAACAAGGCAUCUGUCUCUCCUCUGUGUCAAUGACAGCCUGAAUGAAGACCUGCGAUGUCCUGACACUGGUG